ACUGAGACCUCUCUCUAUCGCGAGAGCCGAAGCUUCUUCCUCUUCCCCAAGAUCUAUCUUUACCUCUUUCUCGGUUUUCGCAUUUCGAUUAAACUGACCGUGUUUCUGAAUCGAGGACCAGCCUUUCAGGAAACGAGUUCAACAUGGAUUCAUAUACACUUAAGUCUUUGGAAGAUUUGCCUGCUCCUUUUCGUUCAUCUUUUAAUUUUAGGUACUUCAAUUCUCUGCAGAGUGAAUGCUUUCCUGUUUGUUUCCACUCAGAUGCAAACAUGGUUGUGUCAGCGCCAACUGGAAGUGGUAAAACAGUCAUCUUUGAGCUUUGCAUUUUGAGGCUCCUUUCACGAUUCCUCUCUGAGGAUGGUAGGCUCGUUCAUACAAAUGGAACUCUCAAAACAAUCUAUAUAGCCCCAUCAAAGGCUUUAGUCCAGGAGAAGGUUCGCGAUUGGAAUCAGAAGUUCGGGUCUUGGGGGAUAAAUUGCUUGGAGCUCACUGGAGAUAACGAAUUUUACAACACCAGGAAUAUACAGGAAGCAGACAUUAUUUUAACCACUCCUGAGAAAUUUGAUGCAGUAACCCGGUAUCGUGCAAAGGAUGGUGGACUGAGCUUUUUCAGCGAUAUAGCACUUCUACUUAUUGAUGAAGUUCAUCUGUUGAAUGAUCCUCGUGGAGCGGUUUUGGAGGCAAUAGUUAGUAGAAUAAAAAUGCUUGCUCAGAACCCUGAACUGAAAUCAAGCUCUCUGGCUCAUGUUCGUUUUCUAGCUGUCUCUGCUACCAUUCCAAAUAUUGAGGACCUUGCGGAAUGGCUCAAGGUUCCUGUCCGAGGAGUUAAAAGGUUUGGAGAAGAGAUGAGGCCUGUAAAGUUGACUACAAAAGUUUUCGGCUACACUCCAGCAAAAAAUGAUUUUCUUUUUGAAAAGCGCCUUCAAAACUACAUUUUUGAUAUCCUCAUGCAAUAUUCGAGAGGGAAAUCUGCUCUGGUUUUCUGUUCUACUAGAAAAGGUGCACAAGAAGCAGCACAUAGACUCUCUCAGACAGUCAUGGCCUUUGGCCAUUCAAAUCCGUUCAUUAAAAACAGAGAACAGCAAGAGAGGCUAAGGGAAGCUUCAUUAUCAUGCAGUGACAAACAAAUGCAAUCUUAUAUUCCUUAUGGUGUUGGUUAUCACAAUGGUGGCCUUUCCAUGAAGGAUCGUAAUCUCGUCGAAAGUCUUUUUCUUAAGGGUGAUAUUCAAAUUUUGUGCACAACAAAUACUCUUGCUCAUGGAAUCAACCUACCGGCACAUACAGUAGUCAUAAAAUCAACACAACACUUCAACAAAGAAAAAGGUCUUUACAUGGAAUAUGACAGAUCUACAAUACAACAGAUGUGUGGGAGGGCAGGUCGGCCACCAUUUGAUGAUACAGGAAUGGUUAUAAUCAUGACAAGAAGAGAUACGGUUCACUUAUACGAGAAUCUCUUGAAUGGAUGUGAGAUGGUGGAAUCGCAAUUGCUUUCAUGUUUGACGGAGCAUUUAACCGCAGAGAUAGUUCAACUGACUGUCUCUAAUAUUCCAAGCGCAAUUGAAUGGAUGAAGUGCUCUUUCUUGUAUGUGAGAAUGAAGAAGAACCCUGGGCACUAUGCAGUUAGAAAAGUGAUUUCUAAAGACCACAUAGAAAAGCAUAUGCAAGACGUCUGUGUAAAGAAAGUUAAUGAGUUGUCCCACCAUCAGAUGAUCUGGACGGAUAAAGAUGGUUUUCUCUUGAAACCACUAGAACCUGGGAGGCUGAUGACGAAAUACUACCUGAAAUUUGAUACAAUGAAACACAUUAUGCAGACACCUGUAAACUGCAGUUUGGAAGAUGCUCUUCAUGUUAUAUGCCGUUCUGAGGAAAUUGCAUGGAUACAGCUCAGACGUAAUGAGAAGAAGCUUCUAAAUGACAUAAACGCUGAUAAAGAUGGUCGACUUCGCUUUCAUAUCCUUGAUGACAAAGGGAAGCGAAAAAAGCGUAUUCAAACCAGAGAAGAAAAGAUAUUUGUUCUGGCUAAUGACUGCUUGACUGGUGAUCCUUCGGUUCAUGAUUUAUCCCUUACCCAGGAUAUGAACUCUAUAUGUUCAAAUGGCUGUAGAAUUGCCAGGUGCAUGAAAGAAUUUUUUAUUUACCAAAAGAACUACAAAGGAGCCCUGAACUCAAUGCUUCUGGCAAAGUCAUUAUAUCAAAAACUCUGGGAUGACAGUCCAUACCUGCUGAAACAAUUACCUGGGAUUGGAAUGGUGACUGCAAAGGCAUUACAUUCAAUGGGAGUAAAAUCAUUUGGAACACUGGCUGAGGCUGAUCCCAGGAGAAUAGAGAUAGUCACUGGUCGAAAGUACCCUUUUGGAAACCAUUUAAAAGACUCUCUACACUCGCUACCUCCAAAAGUUGAGAUGAAGGUUGAGGAAACUGAAUGCCAGAGGCAAGGGAAAUUGAAGCUGGUGGUAACGUUGACUCGGCUAUCACAGACAUUCCAACCAACCAAACGACACUAUGCUGAUAUGAUUGUUGGUUCAGAAGAAGAUAACCUGAUUCUCUUUCAUGAGAAAAUAAGAGUGCAAGAAUUCUCCAGCCCCUAUAACGCAACAAUUCUCUUGUCAAAUCCCCAACAAGGAAAGCUGACUGUAAAGGCUAAUCUUAUUUUUGAAGAAUACAUUGGCAUUGAUAUCUACCAAAAACUUAUAUUUAUGAAGGACAAUUUAAGUGUGAAUAACAAACGGGGAAAGAAACCACCCUCUUUUCCCCCACCUGAGGAAGUAUGUAUCAUCGAAGAUGAUGCUAUACAUCAGCCUCCAACCAAAGAGCUUCCGAACUCGACCAAAUCCAAGAGGUUAAAUGAUUCCAUGCCCAGUUUCAACCUCCUGGAUGAAGAGUCUGAAGAAGAUGAGGCUGCUGCCAAUGUUCACGAAGAUGAGAUUGCUGCCAAGGCUGAAGACAGUGAAUGCAAAAUCAUUACACAACAAACAGUAUUUGACCACAUACGUGAGAAAGCGAAGAACUUCCCCGUCUUAGCGGCAUCAAAUGCUGUGUGCUCUCCAUCCUCAGAGCGCUUAGUUUUGACAAGAAAACGUGCUCGUGAGAAGCAGCUUGAACCCCAUAACGAAGUUGAGGUUUUGGAAGAGUUGGAAUGGAAUAAAAUUCCAAGAUGGGCGGUGGUGAAUCCAUCUUCAGAAUCGAAAGAGACAGAACAAAAUCAACAUAACCUCAUGGAUGAGAGAGCUGGGCUUCCUCUUGAACCUGGAGAUGGCGCAUUCAAAACUUCAGGAGAAGAAACAAUAUUUGAGCACAUACGAACAAAAGCCAAGAAUUUUCCGGUGAUCAACAAAUCGAAGGUGGUGGAGUCCGGGUCCUUAACCAAAACAAAAGAACAACCCUCUAAGAAUCAUCCUGUGUUGAGCAUGGAUCCUUCUGGCGUGCAAAAAGGAACAAACUCAAAUAAAGUAUUGAGAAACACUGCACUCAUCUCAGAUUUGGAAACCAAAGAGGUGGAAAAAGAUGAAUGCGGGAUAUCGAAUGCUUCUCCUAGAGGUUUAGGCGACGCUGCUCAUCUAUCAUCUAGUAAAAUGCUAUCGUUUGAUAUCUCCAUGUUGAAGAAUACCAGGCCAUCAGCAGAUCCAGGCAGCUCCAUGGAGAGCAGAACAAGGAUACGGCAGCCGUCUCCAAUUGUACCACAAAGACAGUGCUGCACAUUGACAACAGUUGCCAAAACCAGGGAAGUAGAAACAUUUCUUGGAUUUCAGAGUGUCUUUUCUUUUCUCUGAUGUUUCUUCCGAUACACAAAAAUGAGACGAUAGAUAUAUCAGUAUGGAGGAAACUUACUUUUUCAGAUUAUAACUUCAUGUGGGUAGCAACGUAUAUGACCCACAAUUGAAACUUGGGAUCGAUGGGAUGGAUAAUAUACUUACUGGUUGGCUUCUCAAUUACUGUCCAGAAAAGUGCUUUACGAGAAGGAAAGCAAAGGCCAACGGUGGAAGUCCAUUUCCGAGAAGGCUUCAAUGUUCCUAGGCUCUGGCAAAAUGAUAUAUUGAGGCAGUGACAUCCUAUAAUAGGGUAAAUUUCAUUUUACUACUCUAAAGUUAUUCAAAGUUUCAUUAUCCGAAGUUUUUUGCGGUGUCAGUCUCAUGCCCUAUAAAUAGCAUACAUUUGUAAUGCAUGCGCUAAAUAAGGUUGUGGAGGGAGCAUGAUGUUAUUGUGUUAGUAUUUCAAUUCAAUCACACAUUGUCACGCAAAAAAAUUUAAAAACGUCGUACACAAUUAGUUUAGAAUACGUAAUUGGUAAAAAGGGUCAUACACAAUUGGUUUAGAAUUCGUGAUUCGUUUGAAAUCCCGACACAAACAGCGUAAAAAGAGUAAAACAAGCAAUUAACUCGUGAUUGACUUGAAAUACCAACAUAGUCACAUCUGGUAACUCUCUACGCUGUGGAUGAGGGUCACGCUAUAUCCACGCCCCCAUUUGCAGUUAUAUAUAUGUUACAUAAAAUUUCUCAAAAAAACAACUAGCACAGAGUAUACCAAUUAACCACUAAGCAAACCAAAGCCAUCGAUGUCUUCAGAAGCUUCGGAAAACGCCGAAAUGUCCCGUAUCCGUAGAAUUGCGGAAUGGAUGGAGUCAGAUACAGAGUCUGAUGAUCUCCAUGGCUUGCAUAGUCGUCUCAUAAUUCGUUUGCAGAUGGAGGUAGGACGACACUACAUACGGCGCCGUCUACUAGCAGACGACAACUUCAAUAUCAAUACAAGUAUUAAUAAUUUCAAUAAUAUUGGUAAUAAUGGGCCGUUGGCGGCGGCGGCAUCCAAGGCCUCCAUAGACGCCAUGCCAAGAGUGACCGUGACGAGCCCAGGCGCCGAGUGCAGUAUCUGCUUGGAAGGCUUGGAGGUCGGCGCUGAAGCCAGAGAGAUGCCCUGCAAACACAGGUUUCACUCGCUUUGUAUCGAAUUGUGGCUCGGCAGGCGAGGCUCCUGUCCGCUUUGCAGGUUCUCUAUGCCCUAGGAAGGAACACCAAUGGAUUAAUUUAGAUUAAUCCCCUUAAUUAAUGUCUGGUUUGAAUUGGAUUAUCAUUUGCUUAGGCUCCUUUUGGAAUGAAGGAAACAUUUUGUUCAUGAAGGCUUUUUUGGAAGUGCUUUACUAGAAGAUCGUCAGAGAAAUUUCAAUUUGGCAUUUUAGUUGUUAUAAUCCCUAAACUUAGAUGAGAUUUACAUUUUGGUCCUCAAAUUUGUAAAAUGAUUAUUGCAGUCCCUCAAUUCGAAGUGAUGGUCCUGUCGUCAUAUUUGAUAAA